rnacentral:rRNA from 1 species
GUAGGUUGGUAUAACAAGGUACAGGUUUGUUCUCGAUCCUCCGAGAGGGACCUACAAAAACUCCACAAUUAAGCGUAUUCAAGUGGAAGUAGUACUAGGAUGGGUGACCUCCUAGAAAGUCUCCAUUCGGGCAACC